GUGCUCGAGUGGCGAACGGGUGAGUAACACGUGAGUAACCUGCCCUUGACUUUGGGAUAACUUCAGGAAACUGGGGCUAAUACCGGAUAGGAGCUCCUGCUGCAUGGUGGGGGUUGGAAGUUUCGGCGGUUGGGGAUGGACUCGCGGCUUAUCAGCUUGUUGGUGGGGUAGUGGCUUACCAAGGCUUUGACGGGUAGCCGGCCUGAGAGGGUGACCGGCCACAUUGGGACUGAGAUACGGCCCAG
rnacentral:rRNA from 1 species